UAUGCUUCUUCGGAAGCAGAGACCGGCGCACGGGUGCGUAACGCGUAUGCAAUCUACCUUUCACAGAGGGAUAGCCCAGAGAAAUUUGGAUUAAUACCUCAUAGUAUAGCAGUUUCGCAUGAAACCACUAUUAAAGUCACAACGGUGAAAGAUGAGCAUGCGUCCCAUUAGCUAGUUGGUAAGGUAACGGCUUACCAAGGCAACGAUGGGUAGGGGUCCUGAGAGGGAGAUCCCCCACACUGGUACUGAGACACGGACCAGACUCCUACGGGAGGCAGCAGUGAGGAAUAUUGGACAAUGGGCGCAAGCCUGAUCCAGCCAUGCCGCGUGCAGGAUGACGGUCCUAUGGAUUGUAAACUGCUUUUAUACGAGAAGAAACCCUCCGACGUGUCGGAGCUUGACGGUAUCGUAAGAAUAAGGAUCGGCUAACUCCGUGCCAGCAGCCGCGGUAAUACGGAGGAUCCAAGCGUUAUCCGGAAUCAUUGGGUUUAAAGGGUCCGUAGGCGGUCAGGUAAGUCAGUGGUGAAAGCCCAUCGCUCAACGGUGGAACGGCCAUUGAUACUGUCUGACUUGAAUUAUUAGGAAGUAACUAGAAUAUGUAGUGUAGCGGUGAAAUGCUUAGAGAUUACAUGGAAUACCAAUUGCGAAGGCAGGUUACUACUAAUGGAUUGACGCUGAUGGACGAAAGCG
rnacentral:rRNA from 1 species